rfam:Myotis brandtii contig238176, whole genome shotgun sequence.
AGAGGCCCUCCGUGGCCAGGGUGGAACGCUUGCCUCGUCGCUGCGGUUACGAAGCAAGCAUUCCACCAUGCCGCUCACGCUGCCCGC